rnacentral:rRNA from 1 species
CCUACGGGGGGCAGCAGUGAGGAAUAUUGGUCAAUGGGCUUACGCCUGAACCAGCCAAGUCGCGUGAGGGAAGACUGCCCUAUGGGUUGUAAACCUCUUUUGUCAGGGAGCAACGCCGGCUACGUGUAGCCGGACUGAGAGUACCUGAAGAAAAAGCAUCGGCAAACUCCGUGCAAGCAGCCGCGGUAAUACGGGGGAUGCGAGCGUUAUCCGGAUUUAUUGGGUUUAAAGGGUGCGUAGGCGGAAUGCCAAGUCAGCGGUAAAAUCGCGGGGCUCAACCUCGCUCCGCCGUUGAAACUGGCGUUCUUGAGUGGGCGAGAAGUAUGCGGAAUGCGUGGUGUAGCGGUGAAAUGCAUAGAUAUCACGCAGAACUCCGAUUGCGAAGGCAGCAUACCGGCGCCCAACUGACGCUGAAGCACGAAAGCGUGGGUAUCGAACAGGAUUAGAUACCCCAGUAGUC